rnacentral:rRNA from 1 species
AGCUAGUUGGUAGGGUAAUGGCCUACCAAGGCAACGAUGGUUAGCUGGUCUGAGAGGAUGAUCAGCCACACUGGAACUGGAACACGGUCCAGACUCCUACGGGAGGCAGCAGUGAGGAAUUUUGCGCAAUAGGGGAAACCCUGACGCAGCAACGCCGCGUGAGUGAUGAAGGCCUUCGGGUCGUAAAGCUCUGUCAAGUGGGAAAAAAGUCAGUCGGUGAAUAGCCGGCUGGCCUGAUGGUACCACUAGAGGAAGCACCGGCUAACUCCGUGCCAGCAGCCGCGGUAAUACGGAGGGUGCAAGCGUUGUUCGGAAUUACUGGGCGUAAAGCGCGUGUAGGCGGUUUGGUAAGUCAGAUGUGAAAGCCCUGAGCUCAACUCAGGAAGUGCAUUUGAAACUGCCAUACUCGAGUAUGGGAGAGGAGAGUGGAAUUCCCAGUGUAGAGGUGAAAUUCGUAGAUAUUGGGAGGAACACCCGUGGCGAAGGCGACUCUCUGGACCAAUACUGACGCUGAGACGCGAAAGCGUGGGGAGCAAACAGGAUUAGAUACCCUGGUAGUCCACGCCGUAAACUAUGAGAACUAGGUGUAGCGGGUAUUGACCCCUGCUGUGCCGUAGCUAACGCAUUAAGUUCUCCGCCUGGGGAGUACGGCCGCAAGGCUAAAACUCAAAGGAAUUGACGG